GCCCAGCACUGACCGGGCCCCCUGACAAUCCAUAUCCAUCGGGUGGCGCUAACAGCAUGGGCCACCCGAUGGAUAUGGAUGGUCAGGGGCCCCGGUCAGCACUGGGC